UCCAAAUCAUACUUCUUUGCCUUAUCCCCAUCCCUAUCAUACAUAGGAAGUGGAGUAGCCCCAGCUACAGGAGUAUAAAGCACCUCAACAACACCAUCAUCUCUUGGCCUAGUAUCCAACAUCUUACCAUGAAAACGUGUGCUGGACCUAUUGAUUUCUUUAGUCAAACCCUUCAAUCUAACAGCCUGUUCCUCCUCAGUCAAUGGAGCCUCACCCCUAUCAGCCGGAUGAUACAUCAGCAAAUUCUUCGCUGUGUACUUCCAUC
rnacentral:lncRNA from 1 species